rnacentral:tRNA from 1 species
GGGCCAGUGGCGAAUGGAUAACGCUGCCUGACCACGGAUUAGAAGAUUCUAGGUUCGACUCCUGGCUGGCUUG